rnacentral:tRNA from 1 species
GAGGGUAUAGCUCAGGGGUAGAGUGUGUGCUUAGGAUGCAUUGAGGUCCUGAGUUCAAUCUCCAGUACCUCCA